CCAUCGCCGUGAAACCCUCCGACAAACACAACCACUACUCACCGGUGAACCCUUCUUCUUCUUCUUCUACGCGUCGUCGCGUCUCCCCUCAACCUCUCACUCUGUUUCCUCCACGUGAACCACAUCGGCGUCACCCACCACCUCCUCCUUCUGCAAACUCGACCACCAUCCACCGACAUCUCCUCCGUCGCGCACUGCCGUUCUUAUUCAACCCACACGACAACAAACCAUACAAAUCCGCCGUUCAAACCCGUCGAAAUUUACACUAAAAAAAACAACAACAACAUCCAUCGUAGAAGCUACCACAACCAACACCAUAGUCGGCCUUGUUCCCACUCAGCCGCCAAAUAUUCGUCGGCAUCCACCAGAGAUGAGUUGGUGAAAGUCCUUGUUGUUCUUACUACUACGUUAUCUGCAGCAAAAGAGGUUGAUUUUGUGAUAUUCCUUUUACUUUUUCAUUUCUCACUAAUUAUCUGUCUCACUCCCUGCAACCUGUUUAUUUUAGUGAAUUUGUUUUAAAUUUUAAAAAUGGGGGACAACAACACCAGUAUGAACAAGCUUAUUGCCUACCAGUUUACUGUUCGUUAUAUCUCAUUUUUGUUUAUUUAUUUAUUUUUGGACAUAUUAUUGAUAUAGUUUAAUUAGAAACAUGGAAUGUAUUUAUGGAUUUGGGCUAAUUAACUGCAGGCCAUUUAAUCUCUACAUUUUUUGGUUUUAAAGAGUUUUGUUCUAAAAUUAUUUUGUGGUUACAUCGCCGUUUACAUUGCGAUUAAUUAAACUUUGGGAUUUUAAUGUAAUGCUAUAUUUGAUUGUUG
rnacentral:lncRNA from 1 species